GAUGAACGCUGGCGGCGUGCCUAAUACAUGCAAGUCGAGCGAACGGACGAGAAGCUUGCUUCUCUGAUGUUAGCGGCGGACGGGUGAGUAACACGUGGAUAACCUACCUAUAAGACUGGGAUAACUUCGGGAAACCGGAGCUAAUACCGGAUAAUAUUUUGAACCGCAUGGUUCAAAAGUGAAAGACGGUCUUGCUGUCACUUAUAGAUGGAUCCGCGCUGCAUUAGCUAGUUGGUAAGGUAACGGCUUACCAAGGCAACGAUGCAUAGCCGACCUGAGAGGGUGAUCGGCCACACUGGAACUGAGACACGGUCCAGACUCCUACGGGAGGCAGCAGUAGGGAAUCUUCCGCAAUGGGCGAAAGCCUGACGGAGCAACGCCGCGUGAGUGAUGAAGGUCUUCGGAUCGUAAAACUCUGUUAUUAGGGAAGAACAUAUGUGUAAGUAACUGUGCACAUCUUGACGGUACCUAAUCAGAAAGCCACGGCUAACUACGUGCCAGCAGCCGCGGUAAUACGUAGGUGGCAAGCGUUAUCCGGAAUUAUUGGGCGUAAAGCGCGCGUAGGCGGUUUUUUAAGUCUGAUGUGAAAGCCCACGGCUCAACCGUGGAGGGUCAUUGGAAACUGGAAAACUUGAGUGCAGAAGAGGAAAGUGGAAUUCCAUGUGUAGCGGUGAAAUGCGCAGAGAUAUGGAGGAACACCAGUGGCGAAGGCGACUUUCUGGUCUGUAACUGACGCUGAUGUGCGAAAGCGUGGGGAUCAAACAGGAUUAGAUACCCUGGUAGUCCACGCCGUAAACGAUGAGUGCUAAGUGUUAGGGGGUUUCCGCCCCUUAGUGCUGCAGCUAACGCAUUAAGCACUCCGCCUGGGGAGUACGACCGCAAGGUUGAAACUCAAAGGAAUUGACGGGGACCCGCACAAGCGGUGGAGCAUGUGGUUUAAUUCGAAGCAACGCGAAGAACCUUACCAAAUCUUGACAUCCUUUGACAACUCUAGAGAUAGAGCCUUCCCCUUCGGGGGACAAAGUGGCAGGUGGUGCAUGGUUGUCGUCAGCUCGUGUCGUGAGAUGUUGGGCUAAGUCCCGCAACGAGCGCAACCCUUAAGCUUAGUUGCCAUCAUUAAGUUGGGCACUCUAAGUUGACUGCCGGUGACAAACCGGAGGAAGGUGGGGAUGACGUCAAAUCAUCAUGCCCCUUAUGAUUUGGGCUACACACGUGCUACAAUGGACAAUACAAAGGGCAGCGAAACCGCGAGGUCAAGCAAAUCCCAUAAAGUUGUUCUCAGUUCGGAUUGUAGUCUGCAACUCGACUACAUGAAGCUGGAAUCGCUAGUAAUCGUAGAUCAGCAUGCUACGGUGAAUACGUUCCCGGGUCC
rnacentral:rRNA from 1 species